CAAUAAAAACAGAAAGAGAAGGGAGAAAUUCAGAAUAGGUUUGUUUCCAUUUCUCAGUUUGAUUUUGCACUUUCUCACUGCUUUCAGAAGAAGAAGAAUAAGAAAAUUAUGCAGACCGUUCGAACUCAACGGAAACCCUUGGUCAACGAUGUCCUUUCUCCUCUCCCUCUCUACCGUUCGGCUCCCGCGCUUGAAGUCAGGCUCGAAGAUUUUGAGCUUUUCGCCAUGGAUCGCCUCCGAGUGCUUAAAGGAAUUUCUGAUGGAUUGUCUAGAGGAAAGAGAGCAGAAGAAAUGGUGAAAUUGGAAAAAGAUCCGUGGACGAAAAAUAUGAGGCAGCCACAUCCAUCUGAAGAUCUGAACAAGGAUAUUAUAUCCCACUUUGUUCUCCGUCUUGUGUAUUGCAGAACUGAGGACUUGAGAAAAUGGUUUCUUUCUAUGGAGACUGCUCUAUUUCGUUACCGUUUUGGCCAGGGAACUCCUGAAGUUCAGAGGGCUCUUAUGGCUGAAUUUGGCCUUUCAUACAAGGCAGUUAGUAAUUCAGAAUUUGAGAGUGUAAAAGAUAAGUUGGUCCAAGUUGCACGUUCCAUAGGUCAGAAGGAUGUACCAACAGCUGGUGCGAUAUUCUACAAGGUACCUUUUGAAGAAGUUCCAGAACUUGUCGCUAGUCGAAGAGUGUUCAUCCUCAAGGGGCAUGCUUAUAUAGCUGCCAAUCAGGUGGUUUCCCUUGUUGCCACACAAUUUCGUAGUCAUUUAUCUAAGGCACUCAUUUUGACAAACAGAAAAUGGACAUCUACAAUAAGAGAACAAGAGAAUGAUCGCUUAUCACCUAUUGUGGAAGCGCUAAGCACAAGUUACUUAGGUCCUGACUAUUCUCAGCCAAAAGGGUUUAGUGAGAUUUCAGUAAAAGACAUUGAGGCGUUGGCGAAGAGUUCAUUUCCUUUGUGUAUGAGGCAUCUAUUUGACAAGCUGAAGGAGGAUCAUCAUCUAAAGCAUGGAGGAAGGAUGCAAUUAGGCCUCUUUCUCAAGGGUGUUGGCUUGAAGCUAGAUGAUGCACUUUCGUUUUGGAAAACUGAGUUCUCUCAAAAGGUUGGUGCAGAGAGGUUUGACAAAGAAUAUGCAUAUGGCAUACGCCAUAAUUAUGGAAGAGAAGGGAAAAGGACGGACUAUACACCUUAUUCUUGUCAAAAAAUCAUCUCAUCAACUCCAAGUGUAGGAGAUCAUCAUGGUUGCCCUUAUCGACAUUUCAGUGAGGAGAAUCUUAGAGCUGCUCUUAGUAAAAUGGGAGUAAACAGCAGGGCUAUGGAAGAUGUAAUGGACAAAGUGCAAAAUAGACACUAUCAGUUGGCAUGCACCUUAACGUUUGAAGCUGUUCAUGGUGCAUCAUGUGAUUCCGGGAUUAACCAUCCGAAUCAAUACUUUAGUGACAGCCAAAAGAUCCUGCAAGCAAAGAACCAUUCGAAUGCUGCCUAAAUAGAUGAAUAUGGAGUUCACCACAGUUGAAAAUACCUGGGCCUACUUGUAGUGACAGAGAGAAUUUGCUCAUUGAUGGUCGACUGCAAUUUUGUCUCAGAUUCGAGUAUAUGGUGUGACAGGAAAAGGUCCCCAUCUAGCAUCAUUUGUAUCAUAUGAAAUGACUCUUUUCAUGAGAUGGGACGAUGUACUAAGCCAUUUAAUAUCGAUGAUGCUUAGUAUUAGUAUUUUCAAUUCUCAGCUUUCUUAGAGAAAAUAUAAUUUCAAUUAUCUUUGUUUAAAACGGAUCUCUUGUGUUAAUCCAGCUCAAGAUUUUUAUUCAAUAUUAUAUUGCUCCAGAAAGAUACGGCUUAUAUGUUUUUGGAAUAAAAAUUUAGUUUAGGUCGUCUCAUUUCAGCUAUCUUAAUUGUAAUUUAUAAGCAGGUUUUGGCCAUGCUGAGCGAUUGUAAUUUGUACUGGACCAUCUAUAUUCUAUACCCUUUUAACACAAUCUGGUA